GACGAACGCUGGCGGUGUGCUUAACACAUGCAAGUGGUGCGACGAACCUGGCUUCGGCCGGGGGCAAAGCCGCGAACGGGUGAGUAACACGUGGGUAAUCUGCCCCGAUGACUGGGACAACCCGAGGAAACUCGGGCUAAUACCGGAUGUGGUGCCCAGACAUAAGUCUGGUCACUAAAGGUAGCUUCGGCUUCCGCAUUGGGAGGGGCCCGCGGCCCAUUAGCUUGUUGGUGGGGUCAAGGCCUACCAAGGCAACGAUGGGUAGCUGGUCUGAGAGGACGAUCAGCCACACUGGGACUGAGGUACGGCCCAGACUCCUACGGGAGGCAGCAGUGGGGAAUAUUGCACAAUGGGCGCAAGCCUGAUGCAGCGACGCCGCGUGAGGGAUGACGGCCUUCGGGUUGUAAACCUCUUUCAGCAGGGACGAAGCGCAAGUGACGGUACCUGUAGAAGAAGGACCGGCCAGCUACGUGCCAGCCGCCGCCGUAAAAC
rnacentral:rRNA from 1 species